GACGAACGCUGGCGGCGUGCUUAACACAUGCAAGUCGAGCGGUAAGGCCCUUUCGGGGGUACACGAGCGGCGAACGGGUGAGUAGCACGUGGGUGACCUGCCCUCAGCUCUGGGAUAAGCCUGGGAAACCGGGUCUAAUACUGGAUAUGACUCCAUGACGCAUGUUGUGGGGUGGAAAGCCUUGUGCGGCUGAGGAUGGGCCCGCGGCCUAUCAGCUUGUUGGUGGGGUGAUGGCCUACCAAGGCGACGACGGGUAGCCGGCCUGAGAGGGCGACCGGCCACACUGGGACUGAGACACGGCCCAGACUCCUACGGGAGGCAGCAGUGGGGAAUCUUGCGCAAUGGGCGAAAGCCUGACGCAGCGACGCCGCGUGAGGGAUGACGGCCU
rnacentral:rRNA from 1 species